AUUGAACGCUGGCGGCAUGCUUUACACAUGCAAGUCGAACGGCAGCACGGGGCAACCUGGUGGCGAGUGGCGAACGGGUGAGUAAUACAUCGGAACGUGCCCAAUCGUGGGGGAUAACGUAGCGAAAGUUACGCUAAUACCGCAUACGAUCUACGGAUGAAAGCGGGGGAUCGCAAGACCUCGCGCGAGUGGAGCGGCCGAUGUCAGAUUAGGUAGUUGGUGGGGUAAAGGCUCACCAAGCCAACGAUCUGUAGCUGGUCUGAGAGGAUGAUCCGCCACACUGGGACUGAGACACGGCCCAGACUCCUACGGGAGGCAGCAGUGGGGAAUUUUGGACAAUGGGCGCAAGCCUGAUCCAGCCAUGCCGCGUGAGUGAAGAAGGCCUUCGGGUUGUAAGCUCUUUCGGCUGGGAAGAAAUCGCAUCUCCUAAUACGGGGUGUGGAUGACGGUACCAGCAUAAGAAGCACCGGCUAACUACGU
rnacentral:rRNA from 1 species